GUGAUUAAAUCGAGCGUGUCUUCAUUGACCGCUCACCCCUUCUCACCAUCCACAUACACCUGUGCAUUGUUUAGCCUGAGCCGGUUUUCCGGUCCAGGUUAUCAUUUCGUACAAACUCUAGUCUUAUGAAUGUAAACGUUUUAAUAACAUAAU
rnacentral:misc_RNA from 1 species